rnacentral:rRNA from 1 species
AUUGAACGCUGGCGGCAUGCUUUACACAUGCAAGUCGAACGGCAGCGCGGGCUUCGGCCUGGCGGCGAGUGGCGAACGGGUGAGUAAUGCAUCGGAACGUGCCCAGUAGUGGGGGAUAGCCCGGCGAAAGCCGGAUUAAUACCGCAUACGACCUGAGGGUGAAAGCGGGGGACCGAAAGGCCUCGCGCUAUUGGAGCGGCCGAUGUCGGAUUAGCUAGUUGGUGGGGUAAAGGCUUACCAAGGCGACGAUCCGUAGCUGGUCUGAGAGGACGACCAGCCACACUGGGACUGAGACACGGCCCCGACUCCUACGGGAGGCAGCAGUGGGGAAUUUUGGACAAUGGGGGCAACCCUGAUCCAGCCAUGCCGCGUGCGGGAAGGAGGCCUUCGGGUUGUAAAACGCUUUUGUUCGGGAAGAAAUCCUCUGGGCUAAUACCCCGGGGGGAUGACGGUACCGGAAGAAUAAGCACCGGCUAACUACGUG